UACGUAGGGGGCAAGCGUUGUCCGGAAUCAUUGGGCGUAAAGAGCGUGUAGGCGGACUUAAAGGUCUGGUGUGAAAGCCCGGGGCUCAACCCCGGAGGGUCACUGGAAACCAUAAGUCUUGAAUCUGGAAGAGGAGAGUGGAAUUCCUGGUGUAGCGGUGAAAUGCGUAGAGAUCAGGAGGAACACCAAUGGCGAAAGCAGGUGACUGGACUCGUAUUGACACUCAUCCACGAAAGCUAGGGGAGCAAACAGGAUUAGAUACCCUGGUAGUCCUAGCUGUAAACGAUGUUCACUAGGUGUGGGGGGUAUCGACCCCCUCCGCGCCGACGCUAACGCAUUAAGUGAACCGCCUGGGGAGUACGGCCGCAAGGUUGAA
rnacentral:rRNA from 1 species